UGUAAAUAGCUGAUAUUUGUACAAAAUGCUCUGAGUGAUCACAAUUAUCACAAAGUGGAAUCAGAUGAGAAUGAAAAUGUUACAGAUAAUAUUAUGUUGGUCAUUGGAAGGGCAGGUGAUGAUUAUCAUGAACAUCC